rnacentral:rRNA from 1 species
UGGCGACCGGGCGCACGGGUGAGUAACGCGUAUCCAACCUGCCCUUUACUAUGGGACAGCCCGUCGAAAGGCGGAUUAAUACCGUAUGUUGUCAUGUUGAUGCAUAUCUUCAUGACCAAAGGCUUCGGCCGGUAAAGGAGUGGGGAUGCGUCUGAUUAGCUUGCCGGCGGGGUAACGGCCCACCGGGGCGACGAUCAGUAGGGGUUCUGAGAGGAAGGUCCCCCACAUUGGAACUGAGACACGGUCCAAACUCCUACGGGAGGCAGCAG